UCCUUCCAUCCAUCACGAACCCACCAGCUCCACUUUCCUUUUAUUUCCGCCGCCACGCCACGCCACGCGCACCUCGGCGAAGGACAAGGCUCCGGCUGCCGCCACCGCCUCUGCCCCGGCUAUAAAGCCGCGCCCUUUGGCCGGCCCGCUCCUCCUCCUCCUCGCUUCGCCCGGGCCGCGCCUUCCUCCUCCUCGCCGCGCACUGCCCGGUCUGCUCCAACUCCUCUCCUCGCCCGGGCCGUGCCUUCCUCCUCCUCGCCGCGCCCUGCCCGGUCUGCUCCUCCACCUCCUCUCUUCGCCCCGGCCGCGCCUUCCUCCUCCUCGCCGCGCUCCGGCCGGUCCGCUGCUCCUCCACCCUUCGUCCGGGCCGUGCGUAUGUCCUCCUCGAGUCGGAUUUUAUCCUGCUCGUCCUUCCCGAUCGAUUUGCCCGUUUAGAAUCGCGUCUGGAUUUGAUUUUGCUCGUCCUUGAUCGAUUUGCCCGUUUAGAGUCGUGUCCGGGUUUGAUUUUGCUCGCGGUCGCCGUCGCCGGUUUAGAUAGAUAGAGAACCCCACCCCGCCUGAUUUGAUUUUGCUCGUUCUCGCCGUCGUCCGUUCGGACCGCGACCGAUUUGAGUUUGCUUGUUCUCAGUUCGUCAGUUUAGAACCGCUCCCGAGUUGGUUUUGCGCGUCCCCGCCGUCGUCAGCUUAGAGUCGCUCGCUUCUGAUUUGAUUCUGCUCGUCCUCGCCGUCGUCCGUUUUCGUUUUGUUCGUCCUCGCCGUUGCCCCGACGCGCUCGCAUGUUCUUGGUCCGCCUCGUCGAGGGUCUCCGUCUGGUUUGCGAUUCAGAAAUUUCUGCGUGUGCUUCUGUUGUCUGAGAGACGCUUUGGAUCCUGCGUUUCUUCGUGUUCGUGUCAGCGCGAUUGUUACAGGAACGGUCGGGUCUUGGUUUUGAAAUUGGAUUACGGGCCGGAGAUGGAGAGACGGGGAGAGAUUGUCAGUUUGUCGUGCUAGUUCAGAUCGGUUCGUAGGCUCCUGCGUUGUUCGUCGGUUGUUUUCUGAUCUCAAACGGCUAGAUUGUUCGUGUUAGCCUAGAUACUCUGGUUCCUAUGUCGAUUCUGAUUGUACCAGCUAGCUUGUUUCACUUUCGUCAGGCUAGAUGCAGGGGUGAUUUUGUUCUGAUGGGUGUUAAUUUCUGUUCUUUUCGAUUGGUUGGUUACUUCCUAGCAUGCUCUGUUUAUGUUCCCAUAUAUGCUGAUGUGUGUUCAGGGGUGCAAACCAUGUAGGCCGUGGGUGCCAUUUCCAGCAGGCAGGCAUAGCAGAAAGUUCUAAAAGAGUGCAAAUCAUGUGGCUUGCUGCUUGACUAAUUGAACACCUGCUGCUGCUACUGUAGGACAAGGUUUCCUUUUUUUAUUCCUCGUGUUGCUAUUUCCAUUUUCAUAUAGAAGUACUAGAUGAGGUGCUGCUAGUCUUCUAGAUUGCAUAGCAUAACUCCAGAAUCUUGUCAUUGCACACCUGGGCAUAUAUGAUUCUGCUGUGAGCAUAACUCCAGAGUUUAUUUAUCUGUGAAAGCACGCUCAUCACAUGUUUUUUAUCAAUGCUGCUCACUUUUGUCAUGUCCCUUUUGUUUGUCCUGUUAAAUUUUAUGGAGCAAAUUUUGUACUCACUGGUUAAAAUAUCAAGAAUGCUAACUUCUGUAUUUGUCGCUAUGUAAGCCAUGCACUUGGGAAGCCUGGGCGUGAUUAGGAUUAGGAUUGCAUAUAGAUUUUAUGCUAUGUUUGUUAUAACCUGGUUGUCACCUAAUAUAGUGUAAAUCUGCUAAUUUUUUAAUUUAAUUUAUGUUCAACGCAAGUAGGUUCUGUUCGUAAGUGGUAUUUCUUUUGCGUGUGCAUGAACAUUCACGCUGUCAAUUUUUCUUAUCAUAAUCAUUUACCGUGGUGUUCGACAAUACAUUUCUACUGUUCUUUGUUCCCUUUUGAGGUUCACUGACUCAAUUAUGCAUGAGAUAUGAUAUCAAUUACUGCUGUCCAGUCACUGAAAUAAUGCUUUUCUUGCUUUGCCUAGACUUUGUGACAAGAAUAAGCAUGUGUCUCUGUGCCUACAAACUUGUGGGUAGUGCCGUAGUGAUGAUGAUCUAACUAGCUUCCUGUUUUCAGGAAUGAAGAUCUGAAUUACCCUCGCCCCUCUAUAGAAAUCAGUUUACUCAUUCAGUUUCUGGAACUUCUUUAUAGCUUUCUGAGUUUACUUCGGCCUUGCAUGUAUUAGCUUUCUGUUUGUACCCUUAUCUAUGUCUGUUUCUUUGUGUGUUUCUUGUGUGCAAGCGAUCCAUUGUGUGUGUCUGACUGUGUGUGUGAUGUGCCCCUAUCUAUGUAUGUUUCUUUGUCUGUUUCAUGUGUGCAAGUGCUCCAUUAUCUGUGUGUGACUGUGUUUGAUUGCUUGGAUGUGGUGAUUUUGAUUGUGUUACUGUGCUUAUAUGGUCUGUCCAAUUGGUUUUUUAUUCAUGCUUUGCUUGUUCCAAUGUCGUCUCCCCAUAUAUGGGGAUGUGUUCAGGGAUGCAAACCAUUUAGGCCGUUUCGAGCAGGCAGGGAUCCAGAGAUGUGCGCUGGUCAGGCUUCUCUCCUGCUGAUAGAUGAUGAUAGGCUGACCAGAAAUUUUUGACUCUUGUAACACUCACUUGCUUGGCUUCCACUCCUUUGUGUGGCCGAUUUGGCAUCCACUGCAUCUCAUGCCUAUCUUAUAUAUCUCACUCACUCAUCACAGCAUCCUUUUCCCUGUUUUUGUUCCUUUUUUUUCUUAUCAUAAUAAUCAUGUAUACCGUGGUGUUUGACAAUACAUUUUUGUGAUAUCUGUGUUUCGUUAUGUCUUAUGUGGAUAUCAUAUUCGUUUUUUUUGUAUUACUGCUGUCCAUACACUGGAAUAAUGCUUUUCUAAGUAUUUCAGGUAGGAUAUAGACAAAUGUCACAUUUGCUCUUCCUUGUGUUGCUAAGGACACUGAUGGGUGGGGUUUGCUUACAGCGCAGGACCGGUAAUUCUGAUAGUAUGCCAAGGACUGCUCAGGGUUCCUAUUGCUUUCUGUUUUACCACCUAAGGUAAUCGAAUUUUGAUCUUCAGCUUGCAAAUUUAUCACCUUAUGGGAGGGAAAGGUUUGCAUGUACAUGAGCUCUGAUUAUCUACAUAUAUACCUGAAUUGCUUUGGAUUUGUUGGACUGCUAUUCUACAUGAUGUUCUCCAUGAUUCACUUGAUCUGUUAAUUUGAGUAUUUUCCUGGUGAGUUCUUUAGGUUCAUCUUGUGACACAAAAUACAAUUUUGGUAUGUGCAGACUCUGAAAUUUGGUGAUAAAGAAAAGGUACCUCCUAAUUUGCUCUCUGGCUCUCUUACACUUGUCUUUGUUUAUACUGGCUUGUAGUUGGGUAAUGCAGAGAGAGGUUUGGAAUUGAAGAACUAAAAUAAUGCAGAGUUGAAGGUUUUGAACGGAAAGCUUGAACAAAAAGUUUACUUUUUCUGAUGUCUUUGAUCAGUUUCAUCCUAUCUAUGUCUGUUUUUUGUGUGCAAGCACUCCAUUGUGUCUGUGUGACUGUGUGUGACUGACUGUUUGUGUGUGUGACUGAUUGUGUGUGUUUCUUUGUCUGUUUCUUGUGUGCAAGCGCUCCAUUGUGUGUGUGCGUGUGUGUUGACUGUGUCUGUGUGUCAUUUUAUGACUGACUGUGUAUUGAUUGUGACUGUGUGUAUGUGCGCGCGCGUGUGUGUUGAAUGUGUCUGUGUGUCAUUUUAUGACUGUGCCUGUGUAUUGAUUGUGACUGUGUGUAUGUGUGUGUGUGUGUUGACCGUGACUCUGUGUCAUUGUGCAAGCGCUCCAUAACUACCUAUUGGCACCUGAUAAUGCAUGGAAAUUUCUAUACGGUCAUGGGCAUGUAAUUUUAUGACCUACACCUCUGUAGUUGGUAGUAUCAUUGCCCUUUGGACACUCUUCAAUGCAUUGCUGUAUAUUUUCCUGCCACAAGUAUGAUGUUUGUGCUCAGAAUGAUGUAUAUGUAGAAUCCAGGGUGGAUGGAGGUUUUCAUGAUGGCUAAUUUGAUUUGUUAUGAUGGUGUGCUUCUUGUGUUUGAACUGAAGCCGUGGAUCACUCAUCAACCUGGUCUGUGUUUGUAUGUGUGGUGAGCUCACAUAUUGUGUCAGUAUCUACCUACGCAGCUGAAUUAUUUCCGGAUAGGAUAGAGGUGCAAUGUUUACAUCCAUGGCAGAAGGUUCUUUAACACUGAACUCAUCAAAGAUCCUUGGACUCAAGAGGAAGAUGACCAAAUUAUUGACCUUAUGGACUGACAAAAUGGUCUCAUUGCAAGGUCACUACCUGGACGUAUAGGCAAGCAAUGUCGGGAGAGGUCAGCUACCAGAACUUCUUGCUGCUGAUCCUGGGAUGUUUCCGAACAUGCUCCCAAACAUGUUCAAUUUAUCCGCCCUAGGACAGCCACUGCCAUGACACAGCAGGUUACUCGGCAUGCUCGGCGUGUUUACUUCUGUGGACUUCCUCCGAUCGAUAAUGAACAGAUGGUUGCUCUAUUCUUCAAUCAAGUUAUGGCUGCUAUCGGGGGAAACACAUUUGGUCUAGGUGGCAUAAUCAUCUGAAUCCAAACAUAUGGAACGAUGCUUGGACUACUGAGGAGGAACAUGCACUGAUUAAUGCCAUCAGGUAUAUGGGAAUAAAUGAGCAGAAAUAGCAAAAGUUAUUCCUGGAAGGUACUGCAUGCCAAACAACUUACAUCAUGGGUCUUGCUUGUAGUAUUAGCUUUCUGUUAUUAGCUUUCUGUUUGUGCCCUUUCUAUCUCUUGUGUGUGACUGACUGUGAUUGUGACUGUAUGUGUGACUGACUCUGUGUGACUGUUACUGUGUGUGUGACUGAAUCUGUGUGACUGUGACUCUGUGUGUGACCGACUGUGUGUGUGUGUGUGUGUGUUUGAAUUAAUAUUGCAUUUGCUUGAUGGUGUGUGUUGCAUGCUUUGCUUGAUGAUGUGUCCUGUAUGCUUUUGCUUGAUGGUGUGUCCUGAAUGCUUUGCUUGAAUGAUUGGUGUUGUAUGUUUUGUUUGUUGUGGUUUAACACUGCCUUUGCUUGAAUGACUCUGUAUGUGUGACUGACUCUGUGUGACUGUUACUGUGUGUGUGACUGAAUCUGUGUGACUGUGACUCUGUGUGUGACCGACUGUGUGUGUGUGUGUGUGUGUUUGAAUUAAUAUUGCAUUUGCUUGAUGGUGUGUGUUGUAUGCUUUGCUUGAUGAUGUGUCCUGUAUGCUUUGCUUGAUGGUGUGUCCUGAAUGCUUUGCUUGAAUGAUUGGUGUUGUAUGUUUUGU